AUGACGUUGGUAUUUAAUAAAAUUAUGUGGCUAUGUCUACUUGUUGUUGCUGUUAAAACGCGCUUUGUAGUUGCUUAUGAUCCAAACGAUACAAAAAUCGCCUCAGUUAUUCCACCUGAAGGUUUCUUUGAGGCAUUUUAUCCGAGAGAAAUGGAUGGUGUUCCAAACAGUGCUUCCCGUCCCGCUCAUGCUCACGGCAGCUUCUUUAAGCAUCGCAAUCCAGCUCUGGUGGACACAAAGAAUGCAGCAGCGUACGGGUAUCGUUUUGAUGGUAAACGGCGUUUUAAUUUAAAGUAAAGAAAUAAAACAGCUUUUAGAUUGUGUGUGUGCUCCUUAUGACAUUUAUAAAAAAAAUCAAUAAAUCCUUAAAAUAAUAAUAAUAUUAUUCAGUGAAGUUGUUUAUAUUUUAAUUACCAGUUCAUUGAGUUACAUAGAUACAUACAUAUGUAUGUACAUAAAUUAUACACAUUUUGAAAUACAAGCCAAUAAAUCGUCAAAAUGCAUCAAUUUAUUCACAACGAUUGACAUAUAUCUCGCA